rnacentral:tRNA from 1 species
UGUGCCGUUAGCUCAGCGGUAGAGCAGCGUACUUGUAAUCCGUUGGCCGCGGGUUCAACCCCCGCACGGCCAACCA